rnacentral:rRNA from 1 species
AGUGAACGCUGGCGGUAGGCCUAACACAUGCAAGUCGAACGGCAGCACAGUAAGAGCUUGCUCUUACGGGUGGCGAGUGGCGGACGGGUGAGGAAUACAUCGGAAUCUACUUUUUCGUGGGGGAUAACGUAGGGAAACUUACGCUAAUACCGCAUACGCCCUACGGUUGAAAGCAGGGGAUCUUCGGACCUUGCGCGAUUGAAUGAGCCGAUGUCGGAUUAGCUAGUUGGCCGGGUAAAGGCCCACCAAGGCGACGAUCCGUAGCUGGUCUGAGAGGAUGAUCAGCCACACUGGAACUGAGACACGGUCCAGACUCCUACGGGAGGCAGCAGUGGGGAAUAUUGGACAAUGGGCGCAAGCCUGAUCCAGCCAUACCGCGUGGGUGAAGAAGGCCUUCGGGUUGUAAAGCCCUUUUGUUGGGAAAGAAAAGCAGCAGGUUAAUACCCCGCUGUUCUGACGGUACCCAAAGAAUAAGCACCGGCUAACUUCGUG